AUAUGCUAACCAAUAAGUCAAAACUUAGUUUCUCUUCUCUCUCCUCUCCCCUUUUCUAUUUCAUAUCUCUUCGCUUCUACCUCACUUUUUCAAUUAUUAUCCUUUUUUUCUCCCAUUCUCGGAUUCAGAUCUGACCUCAUGAAAAAUUAUUGAAUCCAUUUUUUGGCCAAAUAUGCCGAAAUCAUCACUGUUGCUCACCACCAAUCUGUCCGAAUCGCGUUAUCAGUUUAAUCUUCACUGCAGCGACUUUGCUUCGUGUCAAGAACGAAGCUCCUCCUCCAACGAGAAACAAUAGCGUCUUUUGCAUCAAAACAGAGGAGAGAGAAAAAUUCAAAAAGUUGAUUUAUCUGUUCUACCGAAAGAGAGAGAGCUCUUAGGCUUUUGGGCAUCUCGCGAGAUUUUUACAAAGAACUCAUGGCCAGGUCCUUUGGGUUCUUCGUUAGUGGAUGAUGCACUUCUAGCCAUUUCCAGAACAUCACGGUUUUCCUAGUGAUAAAACAAAUUCUUCAUGUGUUUAUGCAAAGCUUUUGUGAAUUAGUGUACAUAUGGACAGUCAAAUUAUGUGUACAUGUGGACGGUCAAAAUAUGUGUACAUGUUGACGUUAUUAAAAUAGAAAACUACUCUUGUCAAAAUAUUUCAAUC